AUGAUCACCGAAGUUAAGCAACGUCGAUCUUGGUCAGUACUUAGAUGGGUGAUCGCUUGGGAAUGCCAGGUGCUGUAAU